rnacentral:rRNA from 1 species
GACGAACGCUGGCGGCGUGCUUAACACAUGCAAGUCGAACGAUGAAGCCGGAGCUUGCUCUGGUGAAUUAGUGGCGAACGGGUGAGUAACACGUGAGUAACCUACCCUUGACUCUGGGAUAACUGCGGGAAACUGUAGCUAAUACCGGAUACGACCCUCGGAGGCAUCUCCUGGGGGUGGAAAGAAUUUCGGUCAAGGAUGGACUCGCGGCCUAUCAGCUAGUUGGUGAGGUAAAGGCUCACCAAGGCGACGACGGGUAGCCGGCCUGAGAGGGUGACCGGCCACACUGGGACUGAGACACGGCCCAGACUCCUACGGGAGGCAGCAGUGGGGAAUAUUGCACAAUGGGCGCAAGCCCGAUGCAGCAACGCCGCGUGAGGGAUGACGGCCUUCGGGUUGUAAACCUCUUUUAGCAGGGAAGAAGCGAAAGUGACGGUACCUGCAGAAAAAGCACCGGCUAACUACGUGCCAGCCGCCGCUGUAA